CGCGUAGGCGGUCAGCACAAGUCAGUUGUGAAAUCUCCGAGCUUAACUCGGAAAGGUCAACUGAUACUGUGCGACUAGAGUGCGGAAGGGGCAACUGGAAUUCUUGGUGUAGCGGUGAAAUGCGUAGAUAUCAAGAGGAACACCUGCGGCGAAGGCGGGUUGCUGGGCCGACACUGACGCUGAAGCGCGAAAGCCAGGGGAGCGAACG
rnacentral:rRNA from 1 species